rnacentral:rRNA from 1 species
AGUGAACGCUGGCGGUAGGCCUAACACAUGCAAGUCGAACGGCAGCACAGUAAGAGCUUGCUCUUACGGGUGGCGAGUGGCGGACGGGUGAGGAAUACAUCGGAAUCUACUUUUUCGUGGGGGAUAACGUAGGGACACUUCCGCUAAUACCGCAUACGACCUACGGGUGAAGGCAGGGGAUCUUCGGACCUUGCGCGAUUGAAUGAGCCGAUGUCGGAUUAGCUAGUUGGCGGGGUAAAGGCCCACCAAGGCGACGAUCCGUAGCUGGUCUGAGAGGAUGAUCAGCCACACUGGAACUGAGACACGGUCCAGACUCCUACGGGAGGCAGCAGUGGGGAAUAUUGGACAAUGGGCGCAAGCCUGAUCCAGCCAUACCGCGUGAGUGAAGAAGGCCUUCGGGUUGUAAAGCCCUUUUGUUGGGAAAGAAAAGCAGCAGGUUAAUACCCCGCUGUUCUGACGGUACCCAAAGAAUAAGCACCGGCUAACUUCGUG